rnacentral:rRNA from 1 species
AGUGAACGCUGGCGGUAUGCCUAACACAUGCAAGUCGAACGGCAGCACAGUAACUUCUUGCUGUUGCGGGUUGCGAGUCGCGGGCGGGAGACAUAUACACAGGAAUUUUCUUUUGCGAGGGCCAUAACGAAGGCAAACUUAUGCCAAUAACGAACACCACCUAAGAGCGAAAGCAGGUCAUCCUUCGCCCUUGCGCGUUGGCAUAUGCCGAUGUCGGAUUAGCUAGUUGGCGGGGUAAAGGCCUACCAAGGCGACGAUCCGUAGCUGGUCUGAGAGGAUGACCAGCCACACUGGAACUGAGACACGGUCCAGACUCCUACGGGAGGCAGCAGUGGGGAAUAUUGGACAAUGGGCGAAAGCCUGAUCCAGCAAUGCCGCGUGGGUGAAGAAGGCCUUCGGGUUGUAAAGCCCUUUUGUUGGGAAAGAAAAGCAUGGGGCUAAUACCGCGGUGUUAUGACGGUACCCAAAGAAUAAGCACCGGCUAACUACGUG